AACGAACGCUGGCGGCAGGCCUAACACAUGCAAGUCGAACGCCCUGGCAACAGGGAGUGGCAGACGGGUGAGUGACGCGUGGGAACGUGCCCUUCGGUUCGGAAUAACUCAGGGAAACUUGAGCUAAUACCGGAUACGUGCGAGAGCAGAAAGAUUUAUCGCCGAAGGAUCGGCCCGCGUCCGAUUAGCUAGUUGGUGAGGUAAUGGCUCACCAAGGCGACAAUCGGUAGCUGGUCUGAGAGGAUGAUCAGCCACACUGGGACUGAGACACGGCCCAGACUCCUACGGGAGGCAGCAGUGGGGAAUAUUGGACAAUGGGCGCAAGCCUGAUCCAGCCAUGCCGCGUGAGUGAUGAAGGCCCUAGGGUUGUAAAGCUCUUUCGCCAGGGACGAUAAUGACGGUACCUGGAUAAGAAGCCCCGGCUAACUUCGUGCCAGCCGCCGCGGUAA
rnacentral:rRNA from 1 species